rnacentral:rRNA from 1 species
UACGUAGGGUGCGAGCGUUGUCCGGAAUUAUUGGGCGUAAAGGGCUCGUAGGCAGUCUGUUGCGUCAGGAGUGAAAUCCCAGGGCUCAACCCUGGGCCUGCAUUCGAUACGGGCAGACUAGAGUUCGGUAGGGGAGACUGGAAUUCCUGGUGUAGCGGUGAAAUGCGCAGAUAUCAGGAGGAACACCGGUGGCGAAGGCGGGUCUCUGGGCCGAAACUGACGCUGGAGGAGCGAAAGCGUGGGGAGCAAACAGG